UGCAACCUGCAGACGCCGCCUUUUCCCCUUUCUGCUUUCCCCCUGCUCUCCUCUGGGAAGUCCCAAGUAUUUUUUUUAAAAGUCCAUAGUGCAUAGAAACAUCAAGGAGAAGACUACAUUCAAGCCCCCAGGUUCCAGAUAAACACCGUGCCUGAUUGUGGUAGAAGUUGGAAACCCUUGGAGCAAGGCUUGCAAUUUCAAUCCGUUUGCGCAAAUUUCCGAAUGCUGUGUCUGGGUGUCCCCAGCCACAUGUUCCGGUGGAUCGACCAAUCGACCCACUUAUUAGUCUCCUGGGCCUCUGUAAAUUAAUGUAAAUACAGUGCAUUUAAAACUAAA